AGAUCAUCAAUCAAGAUAAGGUUACACUUUCCCAGCUAAGCACUGCAUCAGAUCCAUAUCCCACCUCACUAUACCAGACACUUCUCUUUCCAAAACUACCCCUCUCUCGUAUUUUUAAUGACCAUAAACACCCUCCCUCCACUUACAGCCAUUUUCUUUAACGUUACCACUCUGCUUCCCUCAAUCAAUCAUCAUCUCCACGAGAAAUUUUAACCAUGGCGUCAAUGGCAACCAUCCUCCGUCGAAAACUCCACGACAACAGACAUUUCCUUAUCCAAACACGACUCUUCUCCCUCGAAUCUUCUUCUCACGACACCAAAACUACAUCGCGCAUAGAGAAAAUACUGAUUGCAAACAGAGGCGAAAUAGCUUGCAGGAUCAUGCGGACCGCGAAACGCCUAGGGAUUCGAACCGUUGCGGUUUACAGUGACGCGGAUAGAGACUCGCUCCACGUGAAAUCGGCUGACGAGGCUGUCCAUAUCGGUCCGCCUCCGGCUCGGUUGAGUUAUUUGAAUGGCUCGGCGAUUGUCGAGGCCGCGAUUCGUACUGGUGCACAGGCUGUUCACCCGGGUUAUGGUUUCUUAUCUGAGAGUUCUGAUUUCGCUACACUAUGUGAAGACAAAGGUCUGAGUUUUGUCGGACCACCAGCAUCGGCAAUCCGGGACAUGGGUGAUAAAAGUGCAUCAAAGAGGAUAAUGGGUGCAGCAGGGGUGCCGCUUGUGCCAGGUUAUCAUGGCAGUGAACAAGAUAUUGAACUUAUGAAGUCAGAAGCAGAUAAGAUUGGAUACCCUAUCUUAAUAAAGCCGACGCAUGGAGGUGGUGGAAAGGGUAUGAGGAUAGUUCAAAGUCCAAAUGAAUUUGUUGACUCUUUUUUGGGAGCACAACGUGAAGCAGCUGCUUCAUUUGGUAUAAACACAAUACUGCUAGAGAAAUAUAUCACAAAGCCAAGACACAUAGAAGUUCAGAUAUUUGGGGACAAACAUGGCAAUGUGCUGCAUUUAUAUGAAAGGGACUGCAGCGUACAGAGAAGACAUCAGAAGAUAAUUGAAGAAGCGCCAGCUCCAAAUGUCAUGAAUGACUUCCGCUCCCACUUGGGUCAGGCUGCUGUAUCUGCAGCCAAGGCAGUUGGUUACCACAAUGCUGGCACUGUGGAGUUUAUAGUUGACACUGUCUCAGGCCAGUUCUAUUUCAUGGAGAUGAACACCCGCCUUCAGGUUGAGCAUCCUGUGACUGAAAUGAUUGUUGGCCAAGAUCUUGUAGAGUGGCAAAUAUCUGUUGCAAAUGGAGAACCACUACCUAUUAAUCAGUCACAGGUGCCUUUAUUGGGGCAUGCCUUUGAAGCCCGAAUAUAUGCUGAAAAUGUUCCAAAAGGAUUUCUUCCUGCAACUGGAGUUCUUCACCAUUAUCGUCCCGUUCCAGUUUCACCAACAGUUCGGGUUGAUACUGGAGUUGAGCAGGGGGAUACUGUUAGCAUGCACUACGAUCCAAUGAUUGCAAAGCUUGUUGUCUCAGGAGAAAACCGUGCUGCAGCACUAGUCAAACUGAAGAAUUGCUUAUCAAAAUUUCAGGUUGCAGGUGUGCCAACUAAUAUCAAUUUCCUUCAAAAACUUGCUGACCAUAGAGCAUUUGAAAAUGGCAAUGUGGAGACCCACUUUAUUGAACAUUAUAAAGAUGACCUCUUUACUGAUCCUAACAAUUUAACACGUGCAAAGGAAACAUAUGAUAAUGCUAGAUUCAACGCAACCCUGGUAGCUGCAUGUCUUUGUGAGAAGGAACAUUCUGCUAUAAAGUCCAGUCUCCCUGGGACCAAUGGGUUACUCCCCAUAUGGUAUUCUCAUCCCCCUUUUCGAGCCCAUCAUCAAGCUAGUUGUACCAUGGAGCUUGAGUGGGAGAAUGAAUAUGAUGGAAGCAGCUCCAAAUUCUUUACCUUCUCCAUCACUUAUCAGUCAGAUGGGAACUAUCUUAUUGAGACAGAAGAAGUCAAUUCCCCUGGUUUGGAAGUCAAGGCAACACUCCUGCAUGACCAAGAUUUUAGAGUUGAAACUGAUGGUGUGAGCAUGGAUGUUAGUUUGUCUGCAUAUUCCAAGGACAAAAUAAAGCACAUUCAUUUAUGGCAUGGAUCACAUCAUUAUCAUUUCAGACAAAAGUUAGAGCUUGACUUGUCUGAUGAUAAUGAAAUACAACAGAAGACCAAUUUUGAGACUGCAUCGCACCCUCCAGGAACUGUGGUGGCUCCCAUGGCUGGUUUAGUGGUCAAGGUUCUGGUGACGGAUGGAACAAAGGUAGAAGAAGGGCAGCCUAUAUUAGUACUCGAAGCAAUGAAGAUGGAGCAUGUUGUGAAGGCUCCAUUUACUGGGUAUGUUCAUGGGCUUCAAGUGACAGCUGGCCAACAGGUUUCUGAUAGCAGUCCCCUCUUCAGUGUCAAGGGUGAAUAGAAUCUCAGAGUGAAGUUUUCUUUACACGAGGAAACUGCUUGAACAAAUGGUGGUGUAAACAGAUCUACAGGAGUUUCCUGAGCUGUGGGUUCAAUGUUUUACCUCAUGGUGGAUUAUAUUUUUCAUCCACACACUCACACACCACUAAAGGAGGAAGAAUGUUGAUGGAAGAUAAAAUAGGUAAAGAGAAAUUAUGAUAAAAAAAAAACAAGGCAAGUAGAAAUGUUACACAAGUCAUCAUUGCUAAAUGGUACUUGACUGUUAGCAACUAGCUAAACAUCAGAUAUAUGGAAAUUGCUUUGUCUUUUUAAUGUCGUCAACUUUGUCAUCAUGUUGCAAGUUGCAAAGGUUUGGAAACGAAAACAUCUUCUUCAGCAGAUGUGAUGAGCAUGGAAUCCACGGAUUGGCAGGUCAGCCCGUUAAUGUUGUUACUUUUCUAGUCUUUCUGAGUUAUGAUGUCACACAAUUGCCUGCACUCUCAGAGCUCCAACAAAUACAUAGCCUGAAUUCUGAGUUUGGUGAGUGGAUUGCCUAAAAGUAAUGCAAUUUUGUGAAUAAUAAAUAUGAAUAUGUUGUUGGAUAACUUUGUAGUCAAAAUAUUGACAUUUAUUGACAUAUCAAACAUGUAGCGUUUGUACCUUACCUUUUCGUGUUGUGUUAACAUGCAAAGUUGAAUUGCCUUACUUUUUAGGGGAAGAAAAGCUGAAUAGCCUUGCGCUAUGGUUUAUAAAUAAAUUUAUUCUCUCUUAAGAAUAAAAAAUUUACCAAUUUUUUAUAUGCUUACAUUGUUGAUGGUGUGCUUGCUUGCAUCAAUUUUAAAAUGGCCUUGUUAAACAAGUUUGUGCCCAUUGAAUAUAUUUUUCCUUUUAAUGGAUAAAGGCAUCUUGGAGUAUAUUAUUUCACAUUGAAACUAAAUUAUUUCUAAAUUGGUCAAUUACCAAUGCUUGACAUCACGUUGUACUAUUGUUGUAUUGAAGGUUGGUACGUUUUCAAAUCAGAUUUGAGCAUUUAUGUAUUCGAUGUAGAGCCCAACGCAUAUGCUCUAAUCUAAACAAAAGAUGCUUGGUGUGUUACUGAAUAUAUUUUAAUUGUCAUGGUAGUGGCUUCUCAUUUGCAUGACUGUUACGGACAUCGCGAGGGCAAUCGUUAUAUUUGUACAUUAUUAUAACCUGUUGGGUUGGUUUUCUAAACUACUUGAUAUGUGCUGAAGAAAUUUUUAACGAUACUAGAUCGAACCUUUACUCGUUCAAAAUAGGGAUUUUAACAAUUGUUCUUGGAUCCAAUGGAUCCACAGUUAGACAGGUCGUCAACCCGUUAAUUAUUCCUUGUAUUUUAUCCUGCCUGUUGGGGCUGUGUUUAAGUACUUCACCUUGUUGUGUGGUUUUUUAACUUGUCUAGCAAAUCUCCUGAAUGCCAGUCAAACUAGGAUAUUGUUGCUUCCAUUGUAUUACUAGCGAUGGAUAAAUAUUGAAGAUGCUGGUUAGUGUUGA